CCCUUUCUGCACCUGUUCCUAUCUGUUAUGUAGAAACUACACCAACUGAUCCAACGACUGAAGAAACCACAUCACCUGACACAACAACAGAAGAAACUACACCAGUUACAACCACUGUAGAAACUACACCAACUGAUCCAACGACUGAAGAAACCACAUCACCUGACACAACAACAGAAAAAACU